rnacentral:rRNA from 1 species
AAUAGAUACCCAGGUAGUCCACGCCGUAAACGAUGAGUGCUAAGUGUUAGAGGGUUUCCGCCCUUUAGUGCUGCAGCUAACGCGUUAAGCACUCCGCCUGGGGAGUACGGCCGCAAGGCUGAAACUCAAAGGAAUUGACGGGGGCCCGCACAAGCGGUGGAGCAUGUGGUUUAAUUCGAAGCAACGCGAAGAACCUUACCAGGUCUUGACAUCCCCCUGCCAACCCUAGAGAUAGGGCGUUCCCCUUCGGGGGACAGAGUGACAGGUGGUGCAUGGUUGUCGUCAGCUCGUGUCGUGAGAUGUUGGGUUAAGUCCCGCAACGAGCGCAACCCUUGAUCUUAGUUGCCGGCAUUUAGUUGGGCACUCUAAGGUGACUGCCGGUGACAAACCGGAGGAAGGUGGGGAUGACGUCAAAUCAUCAUGCCCCUUAUGACCUGGGCUACACACGUGCUACAAUGGAUGGUACAAAGAGCUGCGAACCCGCGAGGGUAAGCGAAUCUCAUAAAGCCAUUCUCAGUUCGGAUUGUAGGCUGCAACUCCG